UCCCAAUUGGCUCAGAUGGUAAAGAAUCUGCCUGCAGUGCAGGAGAGCCAGUUUCGAUCCCUGGGUUGGGAA
rnacentral:tRNA from 1 species